GUGGUCGGUGUACAGGUGGUGCAUGGCUGUCGUCAGCUCGUGUCGUGAGAUGUUGGGUUAAGUCCCGCAACGAGCGCAACCCUUGUCCCGUGUUGCCAGCAGGCCCUUGUGGUGCUGGGGACUCACGGGAGACCGCCGGGGUCAACUCGGAGGAAGGUGGGGACGACGUCAAGUCAUCAUGCCCCUUAUGUCUUGGGCUGCACACGUGCUACAAUGGCCGGUACAAUGAGCUGCGAUACCGUGAGGUGGAGCGAAUCUCAAAAAGCCGGU
rnacentral:rRNA from 1 species